rnacentral:rRNA from 1 species
CCUACGGGAGGCAGCAGUGGGGAAUAUUGCACAAUGGGCGCAAGCCUGAUGCAGCCAUGCCGCGUGUGUGAAGAAGGCCUUCGGGUUGUAAAGCACUUUCAGCGGGGAGGAAGGCGGUGAGGUUAAUAACCUCAUCGAUUGACGUUACCCGCAGAAGAAGCACCGGCUAACUCCGUGCCAGCAGCCGCGGUAAUACGGAGGGUGCAAGCGUUAAUCGGAAUUACUGGGCGUAAAGCGCACGCAGGCGGUCUGUCAAGUCGGAUGUGAAAUCCCCGGGCUCAACCUGGGAACUGCAUUCGAAACUGGCAGGCUAGAGUCUUGUAGAGGGGGGUAGAAUUCCAGGUGUAGCGGUGAAAUGCGUAGAGAUCUAGAGGAAUACCGGUGGCGAAGGCGGCCCCCUGGACAAAGACUGACGCUCAGGUGCGAAAGCGUGGGGAGCAAACAGGAUUAGAUACCCGGGUAGUC